rnacentral:lncRNA from 1 species
GGCCUCUCCGCGGCUCUGUCGCCCGCCAGCAGCGCGACAGCGGCGGCCGCGGACCCGCGUUGCGACCGCCAUCUGCUGGUCGAAGCGUGAAUGACACUUCUUCGCGCUUCCUGCUCCCGCGGGGGAGUCGACGCGAUGUCCUUGAGAACAACGACGCAGGGGACCAUGGAAGGGGACGCGGUGGAAGGGCGGGCUUAGCUUAGCGGGACAGGCCGAGGAGCGCGAGAGGCUGACUGUGGCCCGGCGACCCACCGGUCCGCGAGCGGGACGGACACUUGUCUCACGUUGCCUGUGAGCCCAGUGCUGAGAGCGUGGGGACCCGCACAGAGCAACAAGACGUGGACCCAGUUCCUCCUGGACCUGGAGGUGAAGGCAGGGACAGCUUGACAAACAAGCAACGCCAUCAGAAGCCCAGGGGCCCACAUGGGGGCGGCAGACGGGUGGCUUCCUCCAGGAGGUGAGGCUGGGAGAGUCAGCAGCGGGCGUUUCCACCUGGGCACCCGGCAGGGGCCAACUGCAGGUGCCUGUGGGGCGACCAAGGGCGUGUAUUCUUCCCUGGAGCUGCCUCACCAAAGGGCCACAGAGUAGGUGGCUUAAAACGACAGAAAUUUAUUCUCCCAUGGUUCUGGAGUUGGUACCUCUAAGUGUGCACAGGGCCCUGCUUGCAGAGGCUCCAGAGGAGGAUCUGCUCCAUUCCUUUCUCCUAGGGGGCCACCUGUCACUCCAGCCUGCCUUCCUCCCAGUGCCAUUCUGCAGCAUGUCCGUGUCUCUUCUCUGUUUAUAAGGACAGCAGUCGUGUUGGAGUAGACCCUACUCUAAUAAAAUAUGACUUUAUUUUAACUUGAUCAUAUCUGCAAAGAUGGUUUCUGAAGAAGCUCACGGUGCUGGGGGUAGGACUGCAACUCAGCUUCUGUAGAAUCUCGACUCCACCCACAGCAGGCGUGCUCUGGGUGGGCAGGCAAGUCCAGAGUGGGAAUUGUGGGCUCUGCUCUCCAGGCAGAGGGAACACUGAAGGGUCUCCAUGAUCUCAAGUAACCUGAGUGGCCCCAGGCAAGCACCAGUCUGGUGCAGAGACUUACAGAAAGGAGGGCUGGGGACAUUUCUACUUCCCCAGGGAAGGACUUGGGAGUGGGGACUGCUCAAGGUUUCAGAUCAACCAAUAUACUGUAG